UACGUAGGGGACCAGCGUUGUCCGGAUUUACUGGGCGUAAAGCGCGCGCAGGCGGUCGUUCAAGUCGAGUGUGAAAGCCCCCGGCUCAACUGGGGAGGGUCAUUCGAUACUGAUCGACUCGAAGGCAGGAGAGGGAAGUGGAAUUCCCGGUGUAGUGGUGAAAUGCGUAGAUAUCGGGAGGAACACCAGUGGCGAAGGCGACUUCCUGGCCUGUUCUUGACGCUGAGGCGCGAAAGCGAGGGGAGCAAACGGG
rnacentral:rRNA from 1 species